CCGAACAUAUGUAGUAUAUGCUAUAUAUAUAUAUGCAUUAAAUAAAUAUUAUCAUAAUACCCUAAAAACUGGAUUAUAGUAUUCACAGUUUUUGGGAAAUUUCAUAGGUGCCAACUUUGCCUGAUAUUUGACAUUUAAACUGUGAGCGCACAAAAAAGCAAAAUUUAUUGAACGCACUCAGCUACAAAUGUAUACAGGACAUAACCGCUAAUGAUUCUAGUAUUGACGAAGAGGAUGGCGAUAUCCUAAUAAAUUUUGCCAUUGAUGCAGCGCUUAUUUUAGCUAAUCGGAGAAGUACCCAUUGGGGGAUACCAAAAUCUUGGCAAUGGGUCAAUAAUGUUCUUCCCAGAUUUGAUAGUGGCAGCAUGCGACAAAUGUUGCGCAUAGAAAUCUUUGAGUACAACUAUAUAUUAUCCUUAAUCAAGCAGGACCCUGUUUUCCAAAACAAAAAUUGUGUUCCACAUUUACCAAUCGAUCUUCAACUAAAGAUAACACUUUUUCGUCUGGGAUCAAGUGGAGAGAGUGCCUCUAUUAGAAAGAUUGCAACAUUGUUCGGAAUAGGCGUUGGCGGAACAGUUACCAAAGUGACAGAGCGGGUUAUCACCGCAUUGAUUAAUUUAAAAUCUACAUUUUUAUGUUGGCCAUCAAGAGAAGAAAAGCGAAAGAUUGUCACAAAAACAAUGGAAGAGCUUCCAGUAUGUAUUGGCUAUGUUGACGGUACUGAAAUCAGAUUAGCAGAGUCUCCUUCAAAAGAUCACAAACUAUACUUCUCUCGCAAAAAAACGGUAUGCCAUAAAAAUGCAAGUAGUAUGUGACUAUUCACAAAGAAUUAGACAAGCGACAAUAGGAAGCGUGCAUGGUGCUAAAAUUUUUGCCGAAUUUGCAAUAGGUAAAAACCCACAAAAUUAUUUUUGUCAUCGGGAAUUGAUUGCUAGCGAUUCGGCAUAUCCGCUAAGCCAACAUCUUAUUACACCUUUUCGACAAAACAGUACUGAGCAGUCAAAAGAAAUCACACAUACAUUCAAUCAAUAUUUCUCUAAAUAUAGAGUACGUAUAGAAAAUUGUUUUGGGAAAUUAAAAGAAAAAUUUUGCACUUUAAAAGAACUACGGUUCCGAUUAACGAACGAAACUAAUUAUAAAAAUUGUUGUAUAUGGAUUUUGGCAUGUUGUAUCCUUCACAGCAUAUUGCUAUAAUUUAACUUAAACGAAAAUUCUAGUUUAGAAAGUCAAGAAGAAACAGACUUCCCACAAGAAAUUUAUGAACACGACGACCUAAGAAAAGCUCUAUCACAUUUUGUAAACAAUAAAGAUAUAAUUAUUUACUUUUAUGUAGUAUA
rnacentral:lncRNA from 1 species